CCUACGGGAGGCAGCAGUGAGGAAUAUUGGUCAAUGGACGAGAGUCUGAACCAGCCAAGUAGCGUGAAGGAUGACUUCCCUCUGGGUUGUAAACUUCUUCUAUAUGGGAAUAAAAUGUUCCACGUGUGGGAUUUUGUAUGUACAAUAUGAAUGAGGAUCGGCUAAAUACGUGCCAGCAGCCGCGGUAAUACGGAGGAUCCGAUCGUUAUCCGGAUGUAUUGGGUUUAAAGGGAGCGUAGGUGGCUAGUGAAGGCAGUUGUGAAAGGUUGCGGCUCAACCGUAAGACUGCAGUUGAAACUGGCAGUCUUGAGUACAGUAGAGGUGGGCGGAAUUCGUGGUGUAGCGGUGAAAUGCUUAGAUAUAACGAAGAACUCCGAUUGCGAAGGCAGCUUACUAAACUGCCACUGACAUUGAUGCUCGAAAGUGUGGGGAUCAAACAGGAUUAGAUACCCGAGUAGUC
rnacentral:rRNA from 1 species